rnacentral:rRNA from 1 species
GACGAACGCUGGCGGCGUGCUUAACACAUGCAAGUCGAACGGAAAGGCCCUGCUUUUGUGGGGUGCUCGAGUGGCGAACGGGUGAGUAACACGUGAGUAACCUGCCCUUGACUUUGGGAUAACUUCAGGAAACUGGGGCUAAUACCGGAUAGGAGCUCCUGCUGCAUGGUGGGGGUUGGAAAGUUUCGGCGGUUGGGGAUGGACUCGCCGCUUAUCAGCUUGUUGGUGGGGUAGUGGCUUACCAAGGCUUUGACGGGUAGCCGGCCUGAGAGGGUGACCGGCCACAUUGGGACUGAGAUACGGCCCAGACUCCUACGGGAGGCAGCAGUGGGGAAUAUUGCACAAUGGGCGGAAGCCUGAUGCAGCAACGCCGCGUGCGGGAUGACGGCCUUCGGGUUGUAAACCGCUUUCGCCUGUGACGAAGCGUGAGUGACGGUAAUGGGUAAAGAAGCACCGGCUAACUACGUG